AGAGUUUGAUCCUGGCUCAGGAUGAACGCUAGCGGGAGGCCUAAUACAUGCAAGUCGAACGGUAACAGGUAGCAAUACGCUGACGAGUGGCGCACGGGUGCGUAACGCGUACACAAUCUGCCUUAUACUGGGGCAUACCCUUUGGAAACGAAGAAUAAUUCCCCAUAGUAUUAUGAAGAGGCAUCUCUUUGUAAUUAAAA
rnacentral:rRNA from 1 species